GACGAACGCUGGCGGCGUGCUUAACACAUGCAAGUCGAACGGAAAGGCCCUGCUUUUGUGGGGUGCUGGGGGGGGAAACGGGGGGGUAAAACGUGGUUAACCUGCCCUGGCCUUUGGGAUAACUUCAGGAAACGGGGGUAAAUACCGGAAAGGAGUCCCUGCUGAAGGGGGGGGGUGGGAAAGUUUCGGCGGUUGGGGAUGGACUCGCGGCUUACCAGCUUGUUGGUGGGGUAGUGGCUUACCAAGGCUUUGACGGGUAGCCGGCCUGAGAGGGUGACCGGCCACAUUGGGACUGAGAUACGGCCCAGACUCCUACGGGAGGCAGCAGUGGGGAAUAUUGCACAAUGGGCGGAAGCCUGAUGCAGCAACGCCGCGUGCGGGAUGACGGCCUUCGGGUUGUAAACCGCUUUCGCCUGUGACGAAGCGUGAGUGACGGUAAUGGGUAAAGAAGCACCGGCUAACUACGUG
rnacentral:rRNA from 1 species